AAUCAACGCUGGCGGCGCGCUUAACACAUGCAAGUCGCACGAGAAAGGGAGCAAUCCUGAGUAAAGUGGCGUACGGGUGAGUAACACGUGGGAAUCUACCUCUUGGCGGGGAAUAACCCUGGGAAACCGGGGCUAAUACCGCAUAAGCUCGUGAGAGGAAAGCAGCAAUGCACCGAGAGAGGAGCCCGCGGCCGAUUAGCUAGUUGGUGGGGUAAUGGCUCACCAAGGCGAAGAUCGGUAGCCGGCCUGAGGGGGCACACGGCCACACUGGCACUGAAACACGGGCCAGACUCCUACGGGAGGCAGCAGUGGGGAAUCUUGCACAAUGGGGGAAACCCUGAUGCAGCGACGCCGCGUGAGCGAUGAAGCCCUUCGGGGUGUAAAGCUCUUUCGACAGGAACGAUAAUGACGGUACCUGGAGAAGAAGCUGCGGCUAACUACGUG
rnacentral:rRNA from 1 species